rfam:Schistosoma haematobium scaffold283_9, whole genome shotgun sequence.
AUCCAGUUGACAAGUUCAGAACAGGACGAAACACUUGUUCUGGAU